GUUCUUUCAAAAAAUUUUAGUUGAAUCAUAAAUCUAAAUAAUUAUGUGCUUCAAUUAACUUAUCUAAAGUGCUUAUGAAGUAUUCAAUAUAUGCAAUAGUAGAAUUAAGAUAUAAGAGAAGCUAUGCAAAAAUUAAAAUAACGCAAAGCAAAAAUUAAAAAUAAAAGAAAGUAAGCAAGGAAAGUCACAAUACAAAUGCAUGAAUUUUAUAGUUAGGUGUAAUCCCACACCUACAUCCACUCCCCU
rnacentral:lncRNA from 1 species